rnacentral:rRNA from 1 species
ACGGAAGGCAGCAGCUAAGAAUAUUCCGCAAUGCACGAAAGUGUGACGGAGCGACGCCGCGUGGAUGAAGAAGGCCGGAAGGUUGUAAAAUCCUUUUAUAACUGAGGAAUAAGUUGGGAGAGGGAAACUCCUGAUGGUGACUGUAGGUUAUGAAUAAGCAACGGCUAAUUACGUGCCAGCAGCCGCGGUAAUACGUAAGUUGCGAGCGUUGUUCGGAAUUAUUGGGCGUAAAGGGCAUGUAGGCGGUCUUGCAAGCUUGGUGUGAAAGGCAGGGGCUCAACCUCUGGACUGCGUUGAGAACUGCAAGACUGGAGUAACUGAGGGGCAAUCAGAAUUCCUGGUGUAGGGGUGAAAUCUGUAGAUAUCAGGAAGAAUACCAAUGGCGAAGGCAGGUUACCAGCAGAUUACUGACGCUGAGGUGCGAAGGUGCGGGGAGCAAACAGGAUUAGAUACCCUGGUA